rnacentral:rRNA from 1 species
GAUGAACGCUGGCGGCGUGCUUAACACAUGCAAGUCGAACGGUGAAGGCGGAGCUUGCUCUGCUGGAUCAGUGGCGAACGGGUGAGUAACACGUGAGCAAUCUGCCCCUGACUCUGGGAUAAGCGCUGGAAACGGCGUCUAAUACUGGAUACGAGCUGCGAAGGCAUCUUCAGCAGCUGGAAAUAAUUUCGGUCCGGGAUGAGCUCGCGGCUUAUCAGCUUGUUGGUGAGGUAAUGGCUCACCAAGGCAUCGACGGGUAGCCGGCCUGUGAGGGUGACCGGCCACCCUGGGACUGAGACACGGCCCAGACUCCUACGGGAGGCAGCAGUGGGGAAUAUUGCACAAUGGGCGCAAGCCUGAUGCAGCAACGCCGCGUGAGGGACGACGGCCUUCGGGUUGUAAACCUCUUUUAGCAGGGAAGAAGCGAAAGUGACGGUACCUGAAGAAAAAGCGCCGGCUAACUACGUG